AACGAACGCUGGCGGCAGGCCUAACACAUGCAAGUCGAACGCACCGCAAGGUGAGUGGCGCACGGGUGAGUAACACGUGGGAAUGUACCCUUUGGUUCGGAAUAACGUUUGGAAACGAACGCUAAUACCGGAUGAGCCCUGUGGGGGAAAGAUUUAUCGCCAAAGGAGCAGCCCGCGUCUGAUUAGCUAGUUGGUGGGGUAAAGGCCUACCAAGGCGACGAUCAGUAGCUGGUCUGAGAGGAUGAUCAGCCACACUGGGACUGAGACACGGCCCAGACUCCUACGGGAGGCAGCAGUGGGGAAUAUUGGACAAUGGCGGAAGCCUGAUCCAGCCAUGCCGCGUGAGUGAUGAAGGCCUCGGGUCGUAAAGCUCUUUCGCACGCGACGAUGAUGACGGUAGCGUGAGAAGAAGCCCCGGCUAACUUCGUGCCAGCAGCCGCGGUAAU
rnacentral:rRNA from 1 species